AUGUCAUGAUGUGGACAUUUCUAUAGUAAGUCAUUCAAACAUUCCUAUGCUUCAUGGAGGGGUUCUCCUUCUUCUUAUGCAAAUUCACGAAUAGAAGUUCUCAUGGAAUU